GUUUUUGUAGUUGAACACAACAGUGGUUUUUCAAAUCGCGGGUCUUGGUUAAAGUCCAGGCAGGAACU
rnacentral:tRNA from 1 species